UAUUAAAUAUCUUUCUAGUUUCUAGUCUUCAGCAAGUCGUCUCCACCACGUCUAUAUGACUACAUAACAAGAUGCACUGAGUUGCUGCCAUGUGAUUGGCUGAUUAGAUUUUUUUUUUUUAAAAACAAAGUGAGCAAGUGGAACUGAUAAAGUGGCCAUGGCCGGUUUAUAUAUAUAUCUAUAUAUAUAGAUAUAUAGAUAUAAUCAAUUUCUAAUGACUUGCAUUCGUCAGAAAAACCCUGUUGAUCAAACCUGUAGUCUUUGUUAGACAUUGUAAAUAGUCAUUAACGGGACAUUUAUAAUGAAGAGACAAUAUAUUAUUAUUUUACUACCAUA